UAUAGUUAUGUUAUAUGAGAUUUGUCAAAAGAAAAAGGAUGAUGGAACUUUUCUUGGAGAACCUUAUCAUAAUAGAUCAUUAUGAAAGUGUUUGUAAAAUUGAAAUAUGAGAUGAGGAGGAGGAGGAUAGGCUAUAUAAGAUUUGGCCUUUUGUGCAUUAUUGAUGAAGCGGGUAUUUUCGGCUCUUAAUAAUGGCUUCUUAGUUAAGAGUUUAUCAUCAAGUUGUUCUAAUGAUGACUAGCUAGUACUACUAAUUUGUCUUUCUCCUAAUAAAGAUUAUUCUACGGGCAUAACAUUUGUGCAUCAGAUAAAAAUUAUUUUAUAAACAUGAAUUUGUACAUCAAAUUGUAAUGUCUUAUUUAUCGUGUAUUAUUUAUACUAUGUAAAUAUCUUUACAUUUUUAUUAUUCAUAAUUCUUAAUUUUUUUUUUUUAAAA
rnacentral:lncRNA from 1 species